CAAGGUACCUAGCCUACCCGGCUAGAACCUCCAACCACUGUGUACCAAACUUUUGUUGCCUCGGCGGGCUGGGUGCCCACCAGCGCCCCCCCUAGGGGAGUCGCCCGCCGAAGGACCUUUAAAACUUCUUUGUAGAUGAACGUCUGAUUCAAUUUUAAAAGAAAUA
rnacentral:misc_RNA from 1 species